AUAAUACUUUUUUCUUUAUUAUUAAUACUUGUCUCAAAUUUUUAAAAGGUUUACUUUUGCUUAUUUUAUUAGUAACAAAACUAUAAAUUUGAAUAUAGAUGAGACUACGCCCUGUAAAUUCAUGGAAUUUACGUUCAAAUCUCGAGACUUAUGCCUCGUCCCGCAUGAUAUAAAACGCCUCAACUUUACACAGAAAAAAGAGUAAAAAUUUCAAGUUUGUCCUCCUAAAGGAGUCAUUGAAUUACAUUUGCCAUUCAAAAAAUAAAAAACUCAAAGGGCUAAGGAGCUGACAAAAUCAAGAUAGUGAUCUAAAUUAUUCACAAGGGCUAGAUUAAACAGACAACUAACCUUAAGCUUACAAAUUGGAGUUGUAACUUCAUUGAAAAAUAUCAUGUUUCUUAUAAUUCAAAUAUUCCAAACAUCUGAUGUUUAUAUUCGCUAAA